UGCUUUGUAUACAUAAUUAAUCGUGUAAUAAUCAUAUUAAACUAACUAGUGUUACACAUGAACAUUGGAUGCGUUUUUAUUUUAAUCAAAUUCUUGGAUUGUGUUGGAUUGUGUUAAUCGAAAUGAGGAGUCUAGCAUUGCAAGUCUCUAAUUGUUAGGUACAUCCUUUCAAUCAAGGAACAUUUUUAUGUUUUUUUUUUUUUUUUUUGUCAGUAGGUUCUCAGUGAAGAACUUAAAUAGAGUAACUUUAAUAAGAGUAAAGUUAUAAUGUAUACACUCAAGCCAAUGUAGUAUUUUAUUUAAUUUGCAUAUUAUGUAAUGUGUAUCUUUGUUCCUAUUUUUUUUUAUUAACAAUGAUAAAAUAAUGGUUAAGUUUUUUCCACUUUUACAUUCCACUUUUUCCUUGAGGAGAAAGGAAAUUGUUGAGAUUGAGUCUCCAGUAAAAGAGACGCCAAAGAUGGCCAUCACUAUUCACAGAACGACAAAUCAAUGCAGUUUGUUCGCAUCACAAGCAAAAACCUCAAGCAAGAUUUUUUCACAGCACUUGAUCAACAUACAGCUCGAUUUCUGAACAUUUUUGAAACCAAAAAAAGGGGCAGCUGGAAAAAGGCUUUGAGAGUUUCUUGAUCAAAUUAAGUUGAAGGGCACUGACAUCACUGCUAAUCACACAGCAGUUCUUCGUGGACUUCCUCUCCUUCUUGGAGAAGAAACCUCUGACUUUUUCAAAGCAACAUUGG